rnacentral:tRNA from 1 species
AUUUAAAUAGUUUAUUUAAAAUAUUGAUUUGUGGUGUCAAUGAUAUGAUUUUUGAUCAUUUUAAAUC